rnacentral:rRNA from 1 species
UACGAAGGGGGCUAGCGUUGCUCGGAAUCACUGGGCGUAAAGCGCACGUAGGCGGAUCUUUAAGUCAGGGGUGAAAUCCCAAGGCUCAACCUUGGAACUGCCUUUGAUACUGGGGAUCUCGAGUCCGGAAGAGGUUGGUGGAACUGCGAGUGUAGAGGUGAAAAUUCGUAGAUAUUCGCAAGAACACCAGUGGCGAAGGCGGCCAACUGGUCCGGUACUGACGCUGAGGUGCGAAAAGCGU